AUUGAACGCUGGCGGCAGGCCUAACACACGCCAGUCGAGCGGAUGAAGGGAGCUUGCUCCUGGAUUCAGCGGCGGACGGGUGAGUAAUGCCUAGGAAUCUGCCUGGUAGUGGGGGAUAACGUCCGGAAACGGGCGCUAAUACCGCAUACGUCCUGAGGGAGAAAGUGGGGGAUCUUCGGACCUCACGCUAUCAGAUGGGCCUAGGUCGGAUUAGCUAGUUGGUGGGGUAAAGGCCUACCAAGGCGACGAUCCGUAACUGGUCUGAGAGGAUGAUCAGUCACACUGGAACUGAGACACGGUCCAGACUCCUACGGGAGGCAGCAGUGGGGAAUAUUGGACAAUGGGCGAAAGCCUGAUCCAGCCAUGCCGCGUGUGUGAAGAAGGUCUUCGGAUUGUAAAGCACUUUAAGUUGGGAGGAAGGGCAGUAAGUUAAUACCUUGCUGUUUUGACGUUACCAACAGAAUAAGCACCGGCUAACUUCGUG
rnacentral:rRNA from 1 species